rnacentral:rRNA from 1 species
GACGAACGCUGGCGGCGUGCUUAACACAUGCAAGUCGAACGGAAAGGCCCUGCCUUUGUGGGAUGCUCGAGUGGCGAACGGGUGAGUCACAAGUGAGUAACCUGCCCCUGACUUUGGGAUCACUUCAGGAAACUGGGGCUAAUACCGGAUAGGAGCUCCUGCUGCAUGGUGGGGGUUGGAAAGUUUCGGCGGUUGGGGAUGGACUCGCGGCUUAUCAGCUUGUUGGUGGGGUAGUGACUUACCAGGGCUUUGACGGCUAGCCGGCUGGAGUGGGGGACCGGCAACAUUGGGACUGAGAUACGGCCCGAACUCCUACGGGGGGCAGAAGGGGGGAAUAUGGCACAAGGGGCGGAAGCCGGAUGAAGAACCGCCGCGGGCGGGAGGACGGCCUUCGGGUGGUAACCCGCUUUCGCAGGUGACGAGGCGUGAGUGACGGUAAUGGGUAAAGAAGCACCGGCUAACUACGUG